UACAGAGGUCUCAAGCGUUGUUCGGAUUCAUUGGGCGUAAAGGGUGCGUAGGCGGCGCGGUAAGUCGGGGUGUGAAAUCUCGGAGCUUAACUCCGAAACUGCAUUCGAUACUGCCGUGCUUGAGGACUGGAGAGGAGACUGGAAUUUACGGUGUAGCGGUGAAAUGCGUAGAUAUCGUAAGGAAGACCAGUGGCGAAGGCGGGUCUCUGGACAGUUCCUGACGCUGAGGCACGAAGGCCAGGGGGAGCAAAACGGGG
rnacentral:rRNA from 1 species